ACAAAUAAUGAGUCCCUAAUCUACUUUGAUCAAAUCCAAACAAAUUUCACUCCAAACAAAAUUUGUCCAAAAAAUUAGAAGAGGAAGAAGAGUGAGAUCUAAUGAAACCCUAGAUCUACUUGCCGCAUCUCUUCGCCAUUGUCACCAUCAAGCUCACCGUAGCGUUUGAGAUCAGAGGGAGCUUUCGUCGCUGCUGUUGUUCAUCAUCGUUGCUGCCAUUCAUGAGCUCGUCGUUGUCGCCAUCAACCUUCUACAUCAAUCGCAUGAAUCUCACCGCAGUCAAAGACGCCGACAAAGUCAUGGAGAGGUACGUUGAGGACUCGCUCGUGAUCCUCCCUCCUCUUAGGGAUUGCUACCGCACGUGUUGCAGCGGCGCGCCGUCACAUGAGAAGCUUAGCCUCGUGGACGUUGGAAUAGGUGCUGGUCCAGAGUUGUUUUUGCCAUAGCUUGUCCAGGUUGCAUCUGUGGAUAAUCGGGGUCUGUCAGCCUGUUCCCUGUCCAAUGGCACCAUCUUCUCUUUCUUUUUCUCUUGCUUCUUCUUUGCUGCAUGUCUUUUGUGCUUUUUUGCUACCUCUUAACACCGUCUCCAUUGAUUUUUUAUGAUUGUUGUUACCAAUGGGAGCAUGAUUUCGGGACUUAGAGAUCUUGGAGUUCAUGAAAUUGGCAUGUUCAUUAGGAUGCUUGAUCUGUUUUUAUGAUUGUUGUUACUGAUGGGAGCAGAAUUUUGGGACUUGGUAAUCUUGGGAGUUCAUGGAAUUGGCAUCUUCAUUAGGAUGCUUGAUUUGUUUUUAUGAUUUUUGUUACUGAUGGAAAGAAAGUUUCAUGCCAAGACAUUGAGCUUAUAAGCAAAUCCUACUAGCUUGUCAGGAAGCUAAUUUAAAAAAAUAAAAUAAAAUCUUAAAACAAAAUUUGUUUACAGAUGCAUAAUUUAACAGAAAGGUGCCUACAAUUAUAUAUGAAAAAAGAUAAAGUUGUGAAAAUAUUUUUUACCAGAGCAAGGAUAGAUCCUGGAUUUACAUCUCUAGGUAUCCAUCUUGAAUUUCUCUAUCAUGCAAUUUAUAGUUUUCAUCCUUUUAGUUAUAUAAAUAGUUGAUUGUAUGAGUUAUUCAAUUUUUAUUUGAACAGAAUGGUUAUCUGUUACCUAAAUUAUUGAUGUAAUUUGUUUGAUUUUUUCACCCUGUAUUUAGUAUAGCAGAAGCUGAAAGAAGAGAAUGAUGAUUUGUUUAAUUAUUUUCACCCUGUAAACAUAUUUUUACUCUCAUGUUCUAGUUUUUUUUUAAGUCUACCUUUUGCUAUGAUUGAUGUCAUAACCUGUAUUGUUCAAUUUUCUUUGAAGUGGUAUCUUCCUUACUAGCAAUCAUUGUAAAGAAUAAUUUUCAUUAUUAGGUUUUGAUCAACACAAUGUAGCAAAUACUAUCUAAAUUAUUCCUAAUAUGUUGUUAGCUCUACCGUGUACCUUCAGAAGAAGGUGGUUUAAGAAAAUGGUUGGUUCUGCUUUUUUAGUACUUGCUACAAAUUCCUAUUAUUAGGGGUAAAAAAAAUAUGGAUUUUCUGUAGACAUUGGAUAUUUAUUCGGGGAUACAAGUGAGCAUUACAGGUUUUGCUUGCCAUUUGUUCAUUCUUGUUUACUCUUUAGUUUUACCACACUUCUGCUUUUAAUAUUUUACUAUCUAUGAACCUACUUAAAUACUAAUAAAUUUUAUAUUUUUUAAAUUCUAGCACAUUUAAAGGCACCCGAACAAGAGGUGUUCUUGUAUUUAUUCUUGGGUUCUGGAUGCUAGAUCUUGCCAACAAUACUGUACAUAUAAGGUUAAAGAAUUAGAAUGUGCUUCUUUCUGUUAUCUUUAUAUUGAUGAAAGAAAGUAAGUUUUCUAAAAAAAAUACUAGUCAUCGCAUGUAAUUCUAGCAAUUAAAGCCAUCUAGCAGAUUUUCUUAUGAAAUCAAUUUGUUUGAAACAAGUCAUAAUAAUUUGUUUUACUUUUUUAUGCUGAAGAGUUAUUAUAGGAGAAGAGAUCCUUAGGAUGGCGUAGAACAACUCAUGUAAAGGGUCUCUCAGAAGAAUGACGAUUCUAUCUUUUACAGAAGCAUGCUUUUUUUUUUUUAUCAUAUUUGUAUUUUGUAUAGGUCUUACUUGAAGUUAAUGCUUAUUUUCUACUCAUUGGUAUUAUUUAUUUCUUACAUGAGCAGAUGGUUUCCUUUCCUGACAAAUAGAGCUUGCUGUGAAGCCUGUAGCAAUAUUAAGGCCGCAUUUCUUGUUGUUGUGGUGGGUUACUAUCUGAUAUCAUUUUAUAUAUUGUCAGAUCAUAUAAAAUAUGUAAAUUUGAUUGAUCUGAAUUAUUUAUUUCAUACCAAUUUGAUUUAUGUAAUUUGUUUAAAUUUCUGUUAAUUCUAUACUAAUUACUAAUUUCUUUAAAGUUAAAUAAUUUUUAGUUUGAUUGAUGU